GCCUUUUUGGUUAUACAUCGCGUUUGCAAAAGACCUCGCGUGAUACAUGUACACGUGGCAUUUUUAUAAGGCUGUCUCAUCCUUUAUUUCUAUGUACUGUACAUGUACUAACUUAUCGUUCUUUCAUGUCCCAUAUCACAAAUCGUUCGACUAACAUAGCUUAGUCAAUAUGACUAUCCAUGACUAACUAAGCCAGGCAGAGGUUGAUGACUUAUCAAAAAUCUGUCAACGUAACAAAGCUAGGUUUCUCAUUCAGUGAGGAUCAUCCAGAUACAGCACAAUGUUCUUUCCCAAUAGAAUUAGCUAAGUCCAGUGACAGACGUUUCAAAAUUGCUUGAUAAGCGAAUUGCGCAAUUAGGGAUUGGUCUCAUAAGCCGUCCGAGCAGUGAAUUUUGCAUCAAAGGUGGAACACGUCGAAUCACUUCAGUCAUCAAGUGUGUCAGGUGGAGGUUCGAGCUGAGCGGAUAGUCGAAAGGCAAUUUACCACGAUUUGCGACACCUAUCAGCGCAGAAAUCUUAUGCGCAUCCGGAACCACACUUGCCUUGAUCGGGCUAUAAAUACUAGGCCUAACCAGGCUUUCAAUAAUCCGGCAUUGGACUCAAAGCAGAACGGUCACGUCAUCACGAAUAUUCUCCGCUAGGAUCCCGAUUUAUUUAAGUUUCAGACAUGGUAAAACAUCCCCUGAUUCUCACCCUGAUUGGGUUGAUGCAGUUGGCGGCAACAAAAGCGGCGUGCAACGGCCACAAUGAACUCUGCAAUCUCAGAUUUGACGAAGUAACAUUUCCUGGAACUCACAACUCAGGGGCGAAUAGGAUCAUGAAGUACGGUAAUGGUGUUUCCGCUUUUUCUUGCUUCUACAGGAACCAAGAUUACACUUUCACAGCCCAAUUGGAUUUUGGAAUUCGAUUUUUCGACAUUGACACUCGUGCCAAGGAAGACACGGCUUACGCGAGUCACAACACAGCUUACGGACGAAAACUAUUAGAGGCAAGUGCAAAUUUGAAACACAUUAUUGUUAGAUAAGAUAUCGACAUAUAAGGGUAUAUUAAGGUGUAUGUCACGACAUUACUACCAAACCAUCGACAAUGUCAUUCUAGUGAUUAUUGUUGUAUCAAAAACAAUUGAAUGAAUGAAGUUAGCUAUG